AUUGAACGCUGGCGGCAUGCCUUACACAUGCAAGUCGAACGGUAACGCGGGGCAACCUGGCGACGAGUGGCGAACGGGUGAGUAAAGUAUCGGAACGUGCCCAGUAGUGGGGAUAGCCCGGCGAAAGCCGGAUUAAUACCGCAUGAGACCUACGGGUGAAAGCGGGGGAUCGCAAGACCUCGCGCUAUUGGAGCGGCCGAUAUCAGAUUAGGUAGUUGGUGGGGUAAAGGCCUACCAAGCCGACGAUCUGUAGCUGGUCUGAGAGGACGACCAGCCAAACUGGAACUAAGACGCAGCCAAGACUCCUACGGGAGGCAGCAGUGGGGAAUUUUGGACAAUGGGCGCGAGCCUGAUCCAGCCAUGCCGCGUGGGGGAAGAAGGCCUUCGGGUUGUAAACCGCUUUUGUCAGGGAAGAAAUCUUCUGGGUUAAUACCCCGGGAGGAUGACGGUACCUGAAGAAUAAGCACCGGCUAACUACGUGCCAGCCGCCGCGGUAA
rnacentral:rRNA from 1 species